rnacentral:rRNA from 1 species
UACGUAGGGUGCAAGCGUUAAUCGGAAUUACUGGGCGUAAAGCGUGCGCAGGUGGUUUCUUAAGUCAGUGGUGAAAGCCCGGGGCUCAACUCCGGAACUGCCAUUGAAACUGUGAAACUCGAGGACGAGAGAGGUGGGUGGAAUUCCCAGUGUAGAGGUGAAAUUCGUAGAUAUUGGGAAGAACACCGGUGGCGAAGGCGGCUCACUGGCUCGUAUCUGACACUGAAGCGCGAUAGCGUGGGGAUCAAACAGG